UGUGCACCUAGAGUUCCAACUACUAGGGAAGCUGAGAUGAGAGGAUACCUUGAGCUGGGGACUGGGGAGGCUUAGGUUACAGUAAGCUGAGAUUGUGCCACUGCACUCCAGCUUGGACAAAAGAGCCUGAUCCUGUCUCAAAAAAAAGAAAGAUACCCAGGGCAAGUUAAGUUCGGAGGGGCACAGAGCUCCCAUGCCCUCUGUUGAACAUGCGACCCUCCCAGCAUCUCCUGUGUCCAGCAACCCUGAAAGCUCUGCAAACCCCUUUCAGGGUGUUUAUGGAGGCUUUAUUAUGCAAGCAUGAUUGAUAAAACCUUUGGCUGUUGGUGAUUAAGUCAGUCUCCAGCCCCUCUUCCCCCUGGAGUUCAGUGCAUGAGGCUGAAAGUUCCAAGCCUCUUACCAUGUGGUUGCAUGGUAAUCAGCCCUCCUCUUGAAGAAAUUUAGGAGCUUGCAGUCACCCAGUCAUCUCAACAACAUCCCCAAAUGCAUUCUUACCAUGCUGGAGAUCCCAAAGUUCUUAGAGGCUCUUGUGUUAGAAACCUGGGACCAAGAUCAAAUAUUAAAACAAAAGAUGCUCCUGUCACAUCUAUCACUGAGGUCUUUGUAAGAGCUUUAGAAGCUCUGUGCCAGGAACCAGGGACAGAGAUUAAAUAUAUAUUUCUUUUCUUUUUUUUGAGACAGAAUCUCCCUGUGCCAUCCAGGCUGGAGUGCAGUGAUGUGAUCAUAGCUCACUAUAGCUUUGGCCUUCUGAGAUCAAGCAAUCCUCCCAUCUCAACCUCCCAAGUAGCUAGGACUACACAUGCAUGUCACCCAUGCCCAGAUCAUUUUUGUAGAGUCAGAGUUUCACCGUGGUGGCCAGGUUGGCCAUGUUGGCCAGAUGGGGUCUUCUUUUGUUGCCCAGGCUGGCCACAAAUUCCUGGGCUCAAGUGAUCCUCCCACCUCGUCCUUGUAGAGAUGAGAUUUAGUUACGUCGUCCAGGCUGAUCUCAAACUCCUGGGCUAAAUCGAUUGUCUCACCUCAGCCUCUCAAGUAUGUUAUGAAGGUUAUAUGUUAGGAAGGGUCCCAGGAGGUAGACCCACACAGAUGGGAUUUGGGCAUAGGUUUGGUUUCCCAGGGGGCAGUGCUGAGCUCUUUGCCAGUGGGAAAUGGGAUGCUGGUGAUUUCCAGUAGGUGACCUCACAGUGACUCAAGCUACCACUUACUGUUGAUUGUGACGAAAUGCCAGCUGAGGCACAUGCCUUGGGAGCUAAGUGGUUGCUGCCCUUGACCACUGUGAAGACUGGUGUGGGAAGGGUCGUUUUGGAUGCACUUGAGCAGGGGUCCCCAACCCCUGAGCCAUGGAGCCGCAAGGAGCCACACAGCAGGAGGUGAGCGGUGUCGAGUGAGGGAGUGAGGGAAGCUUCGUCUGUAUUUACAGCCACUCCCCUUUGCUCACAUUCCCACCUGAGCUCCACCUUCUCAGAUGAGCAGCAGCGUUAGAUUCUCAUAGGAGAACGCACCCUGUGUGGGAACAUCCAGUUGCGGGAAAACAAGCUUAACACGCCCACUGAUUCUACAUUAUGCUCCUACCUCCCGGCAGCCUCUCCAGGCCCAGAACUUUCUCCAGUCAGCCUCUACAGACCAAGCUCAUGACUCACAAUGGCCUAUUUAGGCCCAUACCCUACGUCACGGCAGCCUCCGCAGAUGAGCCUACUGCCUCACAACAGCCUCCACAGGCACAGCUCCAUCGUUACAAUGGCCUCUUUAGACCCAGCUCCUGCCUCCCAGCCUUCUCUCCAGGCUCUGAACUUUCUCAGUAAGUUCAGGUAGCUGGGACUGUAGGUAUACAUGAUGAUACUUGGCUAAUUUUUAAAUUGUUUUGUAGACACGGGGUCUCACUUUGUUGGCCAGGCUGGUGUCAAACUAAUGGCCUCAAGUGACCCUUCCACCCCUGCCUCCCAUCCUCGAGGCAUGUGCCACCACAAGGAGCACUUGUUCAAUUUUCUAAAAAAAAAAUGUCUAAAGUAAGGCUGUGGGAUGAUGGCAGGAAGAUAAAAGAAAAACAGAAGAAUAAGUUAAAAUGACUUAUUCACACAUAUUCUUUUGACAGCAAGAAGAACUUUUAGUAUGUACAUUCCUUACAAACAAACAAAAGGCAGAUAAACAAUGUUGUAUAGGAACUUCAACACACACUGUACAAUAUUCCCACUUUGCUGACAUAAGUUAUGGAAAUUUCAUGGUUUACUUGAGUGUCGCUACCAGUAUUUUGCUUCUCUGAUGAUUUUUAUCAACUUCCUCAUCUGUUAACUUCUCUCCAAGGUAUGUCAUGUCACGACAUACUGCCGCUGCACGAACAUGGCCAGUGUCUUCCUAUUCAACAUGUAGAAUGCUUUCCUAAUUUCUCUUUUUACUCUCUGUCUUUGUGUUCUGCAUUUUCCUUA
rnacentral:lncRNA from 10 species